AAUGAACGUUGGCGGCGUGGAUUAGGCAUGCAAGUCGAGCGAGAACCGGUUUCGGCCGGGGACAGCGGCGAACGGCGUAGUAAUGCAUCGGAACGUACCCUCUGGUCGGGGAUAGCUACGGGAAACUGUAGGUAAUACCCGAUGAUCUCUGCGGAGCAAAGGUGAGAUUCCGCCGGAGGAGCGGCUGAUGUGAUAUUAGCUAGUUGGUGGGGUAAUGGCCUACCAAGGCGAUGAUGUCUAGGGGGUGUGAGAGCAUGGCCCCCACGACCGGAACUGAGAUACUGUCCGGAAACCUACGGGUGGCUGCAGUCGAGAAUCUUCCGCAAUGGACGAAAGUCUGACGGAGCGACGCCGCGUGCGGGAUGAAGGCCCUUGGGUUGUAAACCGCUGUCAGAGGGGAUGAAAUCUUCGGAGGUACUCCUCCGAAGUUGACAGAGCCUCAAAGGAAGCACGGGCUAAGUACGUGCCAGCCGCCGCCGUAAAAC
rnacentral:rRNA from 1 species